ACAGCAACAAAGAAGGAAAAAAUAAAGGAAGAUAGCAAAAGUAGCUCAUCAGCCGCACUUUGAUAUCUCCGCCCCUUUCAACGGACUUCUCAAAGCCCUCUCCCUCUCUGAAAACCUCAUAACUUUUUUAAAAAGACCUUCCAUUUAUAUAAGCUCGCUCUACCACAACUCUCUCGCAUUUGCUCUACUUCUUUCUUGCAAGAUGCAAUCCUCGGUAACUCUCUCGCUCUCUCAGCCCGUAGCAGCCUCAACCAUUCCCAAAUCAAACUACACGGUUAAUCACUCCCUCCCUUUCUCCCCUUCUAAGCCCAUAAAUCUCCGUUUCUGCGGUCUUAGAAGAGAAGCAUUUUCAGGCUUCUCUUCUCUCUCUCGCUCUCAACCCCCCCAGAGUAAAAUCCAUUGUAAUAAAAUUAACAGUGCAAUCUCAGCUUCUUUAUCUGAUAAUGGAAGCGCGCCAAAGUCAUUUGAUUAUGAUUUGGUCAUUAUCGGUGCUGGUGUUGGCGGCCAUGGUGCCGCUCUUCACGCUGUUGAGAAGGGUUUGAAAACUGCUAUUAUUGAAGGAGAUGUGAUAGGGGGGACAUGUGUGAACAGAGGUUGUGUUCCUUCGAAGGCGCUUUUAGCUGUAAGUGGCCGGAUGCGUGAACUACAGAACGAGCAUCACAUGAAAGCUUUGGGUUUGCAGGUUGCAGCUGCUGGAUAUGAUAGACAAGGAGUGGCAGAUCAUGCCAAUAAUCUUGCUACAAAAAUUCGUAAUAAUUUAACGAACUCAAUGAAGGCCUUGGGUGUGGAUAUAUUGACUGGUGUUGGCUCAAUUAUGGGCCCACACAAGGUGCGAUAUGGGAAACUUGAUUCUCCAGGCGACAUAGUGACUGCUAAAGAUAUAAUCAUUGCUACUGGUUCUGUCCCUUUUGUACCCAAGGGCAUCGAAGUUGAUGGGAAGACUGUAAUCACAAGUGACCAUGCACUCAAACUGGAGUCUGUUCCCGAUUGGAUAGCAAUUGUAGGAAGUGGUUAUAUUGGUCUAGAAUUCAGUGAUGUGUAUACUGCCCUUGGAAGUGAGGUCACCUUUAUUGAAGCCCUUGAUCAGCUCAUGCCUGGAUUUGAUCCUGAGAUUGGAAAGUUGGCUCAAAGGGUCCUAAUUAAUCCACGCAAAAUCGACUAUCAUACUGGAGUAUUUGCAACCAAGAUCACUCCAGCUAAGAAUGGGAAACCAGUUACCAUUGAGCUCAUUGAUGCCAAGACCAAGGAACCCAAAGAUACUCUAGAGGUAGAUGCAGCAUUAAUUGCAACUGGAAGGGCUCCUUUCACAGAUGGUCUUGGCUUGGACAGUGUCCAUGUAGAAAGGAAACGUGGUUUUGUUCCUGUUGAUGAGCGGAUGCGUGUCCUUGAUUUUAAGGGGGAUCCGGUUCCUCACUUGUAUUGCAUUGGUGAUGCUAAUGGUAAAAUGAUGCUUGCUCAUGCGGCCAGUGCACAAGGAAUUUCAGUGAUUGAACAAAUCACUGGAAGGGAUCACGUGCUAAAUCAUCUGAGCAUUCCGGCAGCUUGUUUCACUCACCCUGAAAUCAGUAUGGUUGGAUUGACAGAGCCUCAAGCAAGGGAGAAAGCUGAAAAGGAGGGUUUUGAAGUAAGUGUUGCCAAGACAAGUUUCAAGGCCAACACAAAGGCCUUGGCAGAAAAUGAAGGAGAGGGGCUAGCUAAGUUGAUAUACAGACCCGACAAUGGAGAGAUACUUGGCGUGCAUAUUUUUGGGUUGCAUGCCGCAGAUCUCAUCCAUGAAGCAUCCAAUGCUAUAGCUUUGGGCACGCGUAUUCAGGACAUAAAAUUUGCAGUUCAUGCACACCCAACACUAUCAGAAGUUAUUGAUGAACUUUUCAAAUCAGCAAAGGUUAAAGCUCAUGCUUCAGGCCCAGUAAGUGAACCAGUUGCUGUCUAAGCAUCUCAACUGUGGAGGUAUUAAGAUGACAGACCGUCAGACCCCCAAGAAACAUUUCCAUCACGAGUAGGGCCAUUGGCACCCCUUUGUGCCUCUUAGCACAGCAAACCCAUCUAAACGCGUCUGUUUCUCAAUGACUUGGCCUCGUUCAUUAUCGGCGCUAGGUCUGUGUGGUUGCUGCAGCGCUGCUCUCACUUCCCACCUCCUUCAAAACUUAUGCUUUUCGAAACAGGGUCUAUGAUAUAAAUCUGUACUGUGAUAAAGAUCUCAAUUCGCUCCCUGGGCUGAUUGGGAUGCCUUAGUAAGGUACCGUUUUCUUCUCCAAAGCUGCUGGAUUGCCCGUUACAUGUUCGAUAAUUUGCCCAUGUAUAUAACCUAUUUUGCUUACAAAAUUCCUACUUUUGAUAAAACAAAUCCUCUCCUAAAAAAUAAAUAAAUAUAUUAGUGUUUAUGUUUGAUA